rnacentral:lncRNA from 1 species
AGAUCACCCAAGAGGCAGCCGACUGAAGAGGCACGGAAUUCUUACAACAUGGAAAGCGUGUUUAUUAUUCUUUUACUUGACAAGGAACCAGAGGCUACAGGUGCUGAGAGACUCAGUUGAGGUGAGGACCCCAGCCCAGGCUGCAAGGUGAGUGUGAAAACAGAAAAGAAAGGGGAAGGAGGAGGUGGGCUGAGAGAGGGGGCAGGGAGGAGAGAGACAUGCCUUGGAUUUGAUACAUUGUCUGGGAUAGUCACAAACAAACUCGAUAAAUGAAGCCAGAGAAUAAACAUUAUGCUACUUUAAAACACAGGCUUUUCAGCCUUACCUUGACUAAGUUGCCUCC